rnacentral:rRNA from 1 species
AUCUGCGCUUGCGCCGAAUUGUGGUCUGGAGACACUUGCACUACUGGCCGGGUCAAGUCCCUUGGAACAGGGCAGCAUAGAGGGUGAGACUCCCGUAUGCCUGGCCUCKGGAGUGUGUGUCAACGAGUCGAGUUGUUUGGGAUUGCAGCUCCAAGUGGGUGGUAAAUUCCAUCUAAGGCUAAAUAUUGGUGGGAGACCGAUAGCGAACAAGUACCGUGAGGGAAAGAUGCAAAGAACUUUGAAAAGAGAGUUAAAGAGUACCUGAAGUUGCUGAAAAGGAAGCGAAGGAAGCCAGUGCCCGCUGCGUCAUACUUCCCCAUUCGCUUGCGGGUGGGGCGCUGUGGCCAGCGCUGUCCGGUUYGGAUGGAACRAACGCAAAUGGCCCUGCCKCGCGGUUGUUCCGACCGAAKCGUACGAAAUGGCUUUCUUUUUCCCGUCUAGAAACACGGACCAAGGAGUCUAACAUAUGUGCGAGUACAGGGGUGUCCAACCCCCGUGCGCAAUGAAAGUGACAGUGGCUGUAUGAAAGCAAAAGCGUGCGCAGUCUGCCGGCCAAGAUCCCUUGGGAGAACGGUCUGAGUGUGAGCACACAUGUUGGGACCCGAAAGAUGGUGAACUAUGCCUGAAUACGGUGAAGC